UCGGGCUUACUAAACGAAAGAUUUUCCUUUAUUUGGUAACAAUACUUAGAGAAAAGAAAAAUAAUAAUGCCUUCUUUUCGAAAUAUCUAGAACUGCUUUCCUAUAAAAACGCUGAAUUUUAUUGGCAUUUUAUAGUUGCUGAGUUUCUUUCCAAGAUGAAAUUUAAUCUAGUGAUUUUUAUCCUUGGAAUGUUGAUCACUGCAAAUGCAGUUUCUGGGUGGAUCUUUCCCUUUAUUUCGCCUGGAGGUACAGGUGAGGCAGACGAAAGCAUACGCCCGAAUACCCCGGGAUAUCAAAAUGCCCAAGCCGAAGAAGACGCAAACGCACGUGUGGGAGAUGGAUAUAAUCGCUGAACUUACUACGAAGAAUAUCGGAAACAAUGAAAAAAGUCUAUAUUGUUGAUGAAAUUCACUGAAUUGUUAAUGAUAUUAAGUGAAUAAAACUGAAUUGCGAAUA